CCGAGUAACACCAAAACGAGGCAAGCAGACUAAGCAAUAUGGCGGCAGAGGAGAAAGAAGAAGAUGGAAGAUCUAAACAACAACAACCUGUAAAGCUCAGCCACAAGCAAUUUAGAAGGCUUCUGAAGAAGGAAAGGCGACGCCAAAAGAGACAGGAAGCAGCUAAAAAGAGAGAGCAGAAAGAGCUUGAAGGUAAAGACAACAUACUGGUAUAUAAAAAUUAUGUGCUGUGGUGUCAAUUGGAAGCCAAAUGAAUGUACAUGUAAUAAUGUGAUAUUAAUAAAAAAACAAAA